ACGAGCGCUUCCCCAGGCCGCGCUCCUCGCAGAGGCGCGCCGCGGCGCUCGGGCUGUUCGGCUCCGGGCUGGCGGGCCCCCGGCAGGGCACGGGGACCGGCCCAGCUGAGCCCGCCGCCUCCGUCGAACCGGCCCUCGGCCGGCACCGCCCACCUGCCCGGCGGGGCGGCCCCGGGAGCGAGAGGUCGAGCAGUGCAAGGCAGUUCGUUCUGCAUUUUUAGUUGCGCCACGUAACCCCGGGAAGCCGCAGGUCAGUAUAAGUUCAGAGACCUGACCAUAGAAGAGCUAAAGAAUGUUAACAAGAGCUAUCCAAACUUCACGUUCUCCAUGAACACAUACACCUUCAAGGAUGGAUCCCAGAAGGACCUCCUGAAUUUUACUGGGACUGUUCCAGUGAGAUAUGGUAAUUCCUAUAACAUACCUAUUCAUCUGUGGAUUCUGGAUUCUCAUCCCUUUGCUCCUCCUAUUUGCUUCUUAAAGCCAACUGUGAACAUGGGCAUUUUAGUGGGAAAGCAUGUUGAUGCUCACGGCAGGAUUUAUUUGCCUUACCUGCAAAACUGGAGCCAUCCUAAGUCAACUGUCAUUGGAUUGAUCAAGGAAAUGGUUACAAAAUUUGAGGAAGAGCUGCCUUUGUAUUCGCUUUCAUCUUCCGAUGCAGCCAGGCAGGCAGAACUUCUGUCCUACAUUGCAAAGGUUACUGAAGGAGUGACUGACAUGAAAUCAAAGAGUGAAUUUGGUGGAGGCAAAAGUGAAGGAUGUUUUAACAAAAUUACUGUUGUUGGAGCUGGAGAUCUUGGCAUUGCGUGUGUGCUAGCAGUUGCAGCAAAGGGUGCUGCAGACAGGGUGGUUCUUCUGGAUCUUUCUGAAGGUGCAGCAAAAGGAGGCACCAUGGACUUGGAGAUCUUUGCUCUGCCAAAUGUGGAGAUCAGCAAAGAUUUUUCUGCUUCAGCUGAUUCAAAAGUUGUGGUACUUACAGUUAAUUCUCUGGGUAAUGCUCAGACUUACCUUGAUGUAAUACAAAGCAACGUGGAUUUGUUCAGAGGAAUUAUCCCAGCAAUAUCGCACUACAGUCAGAACACUGUUCUCCUUGUUGCUUCUCAUCCAGUUGAAGUAAUGACAUAUGUGUCAUGGAAGCUGAGCGCGUUUCCGAAAAGCAGAGUUAUUGGAGUAGGUGCCAACCUAGAUACUGAGAGGUUUCAGUAUAUACUGGCAAAUCUUUUGAAAGCUCAGGUGCUGGCAAAAGAUGCUUGGAUUAUUGGUGAACAAGGGGAAGACAAAGUACCAUUGUGGACCAGUUGUAAUUUAGUUGCAAAUCAAAUGGAAGCAGUGGCUGCUCGUAACUCAAGAGAAAAGGUGGCUAGCAGAGCUAUGGAAGUUCUGAAGGGAAAAGGCCAGAGGUCUUGGUCUGUUGGGCUCUCAGUGGCUGAUUUGACGGACAGUAUACUGAAAGAUAAAAGAAAGGUUCAUUCAGUAUCCACUCUGGCAAAGGGAUGUUGCAAUAUAAACAGUGAAGUAUUCUUAAGUCUACCGUGUAUUCUUGGAACCAGUGGAGUGAUUGAAAUGGUCAAACUAGAAGAAGAUCCACUAGUGCAAGAGAAACUGCAAAGCAGUGCGGGAUUAAUUCAUGACCUUCAGCAGCAACUGAAACUUAUAAAUAUAGAGACCUAACUGUACAGGAGACAACCAGUGUUAUUACUCAGUACAAGGACCUCAAACCUGUCAUGGAUUCAUAUGUUUUUAAUGACGGUUCAUCAAGGGAGUUGAUGAGCCUCAGUGGAACCAUUCCUG